rnacentral:rRNA from 1 species
AUGGGACUAGCAAAAUGUAAAACUGUUGGGAGACCAAAUCAUGUUGAUUUUACCAAAAAUAUCAAAAAAGCAUUCGUGCCAGGCAGUCGAUCAUCUACCAGUGGCACAGAAAAAUGUAAAACUCAUUGGAGACGAAAUCAUGUCCAUUUUACCGAAAUAUCGCGGGCAUUCAUGCCAGGCAGUCGAUCAUCUACCGAUGGCACAGCAAAAUGUAAAACUCACUGCAGACCAAAUCAUGUCGAUUCUACCGAAAUAUCAAGGGCAUUCAUUCUAGGCAGUCAAUCAUCUACCAGUGGCACAGCAAAAUGUAAACCUCGUUGGAGACCAAAUCAUGUCCAUUUGUUUUACUGA